rnacentral:rRNA from 1 species
UACAGGGGGGGCAAGCGUUGUUCGGAAUUACUGGGCGUAAAGGGUCUGUAGGUGGCCAACUAAGUCAGACGUGAAAUCCCUCAGCUUAACUGGGGAACUGCGUCUGAUACUGGAUGGCUUGAGUGUGGGAGAGGAAUGCGGAAUUCCAGGUGUAGCGGUGAAAUGCGUAGAUAUCUGGAGGAACACCGGUGGCGAAGGCGGCUUCCUGGUCUGCAACUGACGCUGUGGCGCGAAAGCUAGGGGAGCAAACGGG